GCCGGGGACUCUAGGGAGACUGCCGGCGACGAGCCGGAGGAAGGUGGGGAUGACGUCAAGUCAUCAUGCCCCUUAUGCCCUGGGCGACACACAUGCUACAAUGGCCGGUACAGUAGGCAGCGACCUCGCGAGGGGGAGCGAAUCCCUAAAACCGGUCCCAGUUCGGAUCGCAGGCUGCAACUCGCCUGCGUGAAGCCGGAAUCGCUAGUAACCGUCGGUCAGCCACACGACGGUGAAUACGUUCCCGGGCCU
rnacentral:rRNA from 1 species